AAUGGGGGCUDCCGUGAUCCAGCAAUGCCGCGUGUGUGAAGAAGGCCUGCGGGUUGUAAAGCACUUUCGGCUGGGAAGAAAAGUCCGGCGUUAACACCGCCGGGCCUUGACGUUACCGGCAGAAGAAGCACCGGCCAACUCUGUGCCAGCAGCCGCGGUAAUACAGAGGGUGCAAGCGUUAAUCGGAAUCACUGGGCGUAAAGCGUGCGUAGGUGGUCAAGCAAGUCGGUUGUGAAAUCCCCGGGCUUAACCUGGGAACCGCAGUCGAUACUACUUGGCUGGAGUAUGGUAGAGGGAAGUGGAAUUUCCGGUGUAGCGGUGAAAUGCGUAGAUAUCGGAAGGAACACCAAUGGCGAAGGCAGCUUCCUGGACCAAUACUGACACUGAGGCACGAAAGCGUGGGGAGCAAACAGGAUUAGAUACCCUGGUAGUCCACGCCCUAAACGAUGAGAACUAGCCGUUGGGGGAAUUAAAUCUCCUAGUGGCGCASUAACGCGUUAAGUUCUCCGCCUGGGGRGUACGGCCGCAAGGUUA
rnacentral:rRNA from 1 species